rnacentral:rRNA from 1 species
UACGUAGGGUGCAAGCGUUGUCCGGAAUCAUUGGGCGUAAAGCGCGCGUAGGCGGCCCGAUAAGUCCGCUGUGAAAGUCAACGGCUCAACUGUUGAAAGCCGGUGGAUACUGUCGGGCUAGAGUACGGAAGAGGCAAGUGGAAUUCCUGGUGUAGCGGUGGAAUGCGCAGAUAUCAGGAGGAACACCUAUAGCGAAGGCAGCUCGCUGGGACGUUACUGACGCUGAGACGCGAAAGCGUGGGGAGCAAACAGG